AUUGAACGCUAGCGGGAUGCCUUACACAUGCAAGUCGACCGGAGUGGCGAACGGGUGAGUAAUGUAUCGUAACGUGCCCAGUAGCGGGGGAUAACUACGCGAAAGCGUAGCUAAUACCGCAUACUAUUGGAGCGGCCGAUAUCGGUUGAGCUAGUGGGUGGGGGAACGGCUCACCAAGGCGACGAUCCGUAGCGGGUUUGAGAGGACGACCCGCCACACUGGGACGUAGACACGGCCCAGACUCCUACGGGAGGCAGCAGUGGGGAAGUUUGGACAAUGGGGGAAACCCUGAUCCAGCCAUCCCGCGUGUGCGAUGAAGGCCGUCGGGUUGUAAAGCACGUUUGGCAGGAAAGCGGUACCUGCAGAAUAAGCACCGGCUAACUACGUGCCAGCAGCCGCGGUAAUUC
rnacentral:rRNA from 1 species